rnacentral:lncRNA from 1 species
UUUUUGGCCCUGCCAUUCCCCUGUACUGGGGCAUAUCUUCUUUACAUACAUCUUGUUGGUAUAAAACUUUUUAAAAGAGUUACUAAGAGCAAAAAUUUAAAUUUCCUCUUUAAUUUAGUUAGCAUGCCUUUAGGUCUUUUUUUACACUGUGCAAACAUUUUAAUGAGCACGCUACUAAAACACAGCUACCAAAAUAAUGAGAGUGUGUUAUGAUUGCUAGAGCUUGCUUUUCAUAGUAAACCUGUAUGUUUUCAAUUUAGAAGCAAAUAUAUAUUUAAAAAAUACUGUCAACUUUUUUCUCUUUUCCUCAGUUCCUUUGAUUGAGACUUGCUUUGAAAAUUUUAAAUUACAUAUAUAUUUACAUAUGUAUAUUUAAGUGUGAUCAUCUUACACAAAUUAUACCUAGUAACAUCAUUUCUGCGCUAUUGUGGAAUGACCAGUUAUCUUUAUCAUGGAGAAUUGCUUUUCUACUAAUUGCACUGCUGAGCUAUGCAUUUCAUUUUCUUGUUUUAAGGUAUUUUGUAAGGAAUGGAAUAACUUUAUAACCACAUUAAAGAUAUUCCAGGGUUAUUGAUAUUUUAAACAUUGUAUUUUUAAUUGCUAAAAUUAUUUUUAAACAUUCUAAUAAUAUUGUUUUAAAGAACCCAAAACGUUUAACUUGAUUGUUUAAAGAAAAACAAUACUAUGUUAAUUUGCUGUCUUUUUAAGAGGUAGCAAGCGAAGGCUGAAAAGGAUGGUGGAGCUUCACCAGGUCUCACCGGCACAGGCCCGCGGAGUUACUACCUUUACUGAAUUUACAGGGGUGGUCUUGCUGCAGAGGCUUCUUUUGUGUGUUUUACUUACAACUUAUAACAAGAUACACGUAACUUGUGUGUUUUAUUACUUUUCCCCAGCCUUCUCCUGGGGAGGCUGAUUUUAUGUGUGCCAUACUUUUUCAUAUGAAGUGGCUCAGUGACGCUGAGUAUAUAUGUUUGCACACACUACAUGAUAGCUUCUCUUUUAACAAGAUUAAAAGAACCAUGCAAAUAGUUACCACACCUAAACUUCUGUAGCCUUUGUGUGUAUGCGAGUUUUACCUGCUUGUAUAUGUCUAUACGCCACAUUUAUCAUGCCUGAUACCCAAGGAAUCCAUCAGAGGAGGGCAGGUCCCUCCCUUGGAACUAGAGUUACAAACAAUUGUGAGUUACCAUGUGGCGACUGGGAACUAAAUCCCAGUUCUCUGAAGAGCAGCCAGUGCUCUUAAUUGCUGAGCCACCUCUGAAAAGCCCCUAGCUAACUUGUUUCAGUAACCCCAAGAAUGACUUGUGAGCUGCACUAAGGCAGCUGCAGUGGGUUCAGCUGGUACCGUCCCCGUCCCUGUAGUGGGAUGUUAAGUGAAAGUUAAUCACUCUCUAAGAGGUCACCUACACUUCCUUUUGGCUUGCAGUGUUAAUUAGAUUUGUUGUUCUUAAGUGCUUCAUUGUGGAGAGAAGCCAGGUUGCUUUGGUGUCAUCAUCCUCUCCUUUACCCUGCACACUGACCUGAUCUUUUGGCAUCAGCCCCAGGCUGCACAGCUGCUUUUUGACCUUUUUUGCCUGCCAAAUGUGUAGCUUCAGGCUUGCUGCUUCCCUUCAGAAACAAUUGACCCUUCAUGGGGAAAGGUGAGAGGGUGGCCAUGCUGGAGUCAAUGGCUCUUUAUUUAGGUUACUAGAUUCUAGUAAAAGAUGCAUUUUAUUCCUCAGUUUAAAAAAGAAUCAGUGUAUUAAUUGUCAUAAUUAGAGUUAAAUUGUUAAAACCUUGGGUAAGUACAAGCAAUAUUUUAGCAUUAAAAUUUUUUGACAUAAAGUAUUUGUUAACUCAGGUAAACUGUAAGGUCAACUUUAUUGAGGCUUAAAUAUUUUAAAUGUUAAUUACAUGCCUUUUGGCAUAUAAUUUUAGAAACCACAAAGGACUCCAAUUGUAGAAACAACAAAGGAAACAAAAACUGUCUGUCUGACGUGUAAAACCACCCUUAAUGUGACUAUUAACUGCAGGCUUCUAAGUUAAGGUCAGGGAGAGUCAGGUUUCUUGUUCCUAAAAUGUUGUAAGCUGACCCUGGUGCUCUGUGGGCCACUAAUCUCCCACAUUCUGUUUAUGAUAACAGCCUGAGAGGAGAUUUUCUGCUUGUUUAGAAAAGGCCCAGGUAGACAGCAAAACAAAAGCCAGGUGGUUAGCUUUAACUUCUAUAAUUAAUGCCGAAGUGUAAUAUAAGACGAGUAUAAGGUCUGCUCGAGUGCAGGGAGUGAGAUCCCCUUGUCAUUAGCUGUAACUGCCAUGGCCGCAGAAGAUACACAGUGCGAGGAUUUAUACAGUGAGUGUUGUUAUGGUGUCUUCUCAAGAUCAGGAGGCCUUGUGAUUCUCGGUAGAUUAGGAAUAUAGUUUUUAUGUUAUUUUGAAGAUACAUUGUUAUCGUUUUUAGCAUCAGAGUAGUCCUACCUAAAGUUCUGGAAAUGAUGAGGACUAACCUUUUGGUUUCUUCACUGCCAACUUCCUGCUUUCUCUGUUUCCUGUGGUCCAGCCUGGUCCCUUCUGCUCCCGGCUCCUCCCUUCUCCAUGUCACAACCUUCAACAGAACUUCACUUUGGGACACCUGUUUGCUAUACCAUGUCCUUGCUAGAUGUGCCACUAGCUCAUUUGAUUUACAAAUUUCAGUGAUAAUACCAUUCACACUUACAUUAAAGGUUUUUCCCUUUGUUGUUAUUUGAUGUUUUCUGUUUGUUUGUUUGUUUGUUUGUUUUUAUUUUAAACAUUACCAACACAAACCUUGUGGUAGUCGUUCUGUUUCAGCUUUCCAAAUCAGUGAUGGGAUUACAGGCCAAUUACUUAAUCUUUCUUUUUUCCUGAUUAGAAUUCUGAUGAAAAUUAAAUAGUAAUUAAUGCAGAGGAUUUUUAUUUCUCUUUUAAUAAAGAAAUGUGGGUUUGGAGCUAUUUACUAGUAGUCAUUGAAAUUGCAAAUACUAGGGGAAUUUUCUUCAAUUUAAUUUUUGGUUGUAAUUUGUGACAAUUCCAGGAAUCAGUGGAAUUUUUUUUGUACUGUUUUGAGAUUUUCAUUACAUUUAUUUAGUUUUUGUGCAUGUGUGAAUAUGCAUAGCUGACAUGUUUGGAGGUUGAGGACAUCUUGUAGGAGUUUGUUCAGUAAAUGACAGUAAAGUUUUCCGGAAUGCAGGGACACCUGGGGCCACUUAGUAAGUUUUCUAAAACCAAAUGCAUAUAUGAAGAAGAUUAUGGAGAAACUUAUAAGCACGCAGACUAAGCUACAGGACUCUGGGAGGCGAGGAAACAGUUCCUUUUCAGUUCUGAAUUUAGAAGAAUUUAUGUGUGAGAAGAAAUACCUGAGCUUAUCCUUCAGCAAAAAUAAAUAAAU